UUGAAAAAAAAAAAAAAGGAAAAUAGCAGGGCACCACAGCCGAUCAGACCCAUCAUUACAUCAACAAGAAUGAUCCAAUUUCAAGCCGUUCUUCGUCUUUCUACAGCUUCUCUUCUCAAUCCUCCAACUUCUAAUACGUAAUAAUCACUCACUUUCAGAGAUAUAAGCAAAAUUUUGUUAUUCGUAGCUAUAGAUAUAGAGACAGGAAGAGAUUGGGAGAGAAGGAGAAAUGGAUCCAGAGCAGACUUUUAUAAGGUUACAAGAAAGGUUCUCGCAGAUGCUAACACCCAAAGUCAGGGCUGCUUUGGAAUAUAUGUAUUUGUUCAUAGCCGUCACUCUCUUUUGUGUUCUCGUUGUCAUGCACGCCAAUUAUGUUCAACAGCCUGGAUGUUCAUGUGAGCUGUCUGGUGCUGAAACAAUGGAAGCGCAAAUUAUUCAAAUCAAGAUAACCAGUGCAGGCUUGUGGUCACACAAUGAAUCUGAGUCCAAUAUAGCGGAUGUUCCUGGAGUGGAGACUGUAUCAGAUAAACUAACAUUGCUAAAUGUGGAUGAAGAUGGAUUGACAUUUCUGGCUCCAGAGUUUUGGUUGAAUUGGAUUAGAUUGAGCGCUAAGAAAGGAAAGCUAGCACUGAAAUUCUGGAAGACUGAUUCUGAAAAUCUUGGAUAUCAACAUGGAAGCUCUGCCAGCAGCGAUAGCUCUAAGCCAAUGGUUGAUGAUGAUGUCACUAAAACUGAUAAAGUGGAGACACGCAGUAGUUUCCCUAUAUCAGCCAAGGAAACUUUUAAAGCAGCCAUUAUUCAUUUUGGCAAAAAAUGGCACGGGCGUUUAUCAUUUAUUUGGAGACAUGCAGUGCAAAUAAUACGAAGUUUCCAGAAAUUGUGGAAUAUCACAGGCAUCCAUUUAAAUCUUGAUGUUCCCAAGUGGAUGAGAAUACUUUACUUGGACAGGCUUAACACAUAUGCAGUUCAAUGGCUGGAGAAGAAGAGCAAGGCUUUUGAACCAACUUAUUUAUACACCAUGGAAAAGGGUUAUUUCUUGCUUCCUGAGGAUGCUAAGUCUCGGCAUAAUAUACGUACUGUUAACAUUACUAUAUCAGCUCGGCAUCCUUGCUUUGGGAACAGGUGGCAGCAGCUUCUCAUUAACAGAAUUGUUGGAUACGAUACCAUACUGAUGAAUAGUUUAUUGAGUUCUCCUGGACAAGGUUAUCUUUAUAAUUUUCAAACAAAGGAGUUCUACAAUCUUAGUUAUCCACAACAACCACCUGAAGGUCCUGCAAAAUUUGGAGACUAUCUUGUGACCAAGUGUGGCGUGCUUAUGAUGUCGCUGUUUGUUUUCUUCACCACCACAAUGUCAGUAUCCUUUACAUUGAGAGAGACACAGACUCGAAUGCUGAAAUUUACAGGUGUGCUUUAUUUCAAUUUGUAUAUAGAGGAUGUGUAAUAUAGUAUUGUCGCUAUUCGAUACAUGCAUCCUUGAGGUUGUUUCUUUUCUGCUAAUUUUCAUGUCUCCUUAUGUCUUAAAAUCUUGCAAGUAGGUUCAAAGUUCACUGUUGGUUAGGUUUUCUAGGAUAUACAAUCUUUGUGCUGAUGGUUUAUAACAAGAGGCCUGUCUUUUUUUGAUAUCAUUUAAUCUACAGAUUUUAGAUACAAAGUGUACAUGCUUUGGAUACCAAUUGCGUGUUUACUUUUUUGAAAUUUUGCAGUGCAGCUUCAACACCAUGCUCAACAUCGGCUGCCAACCUUUCAGUUGAUCUUUGUGCAUGUGAUUGAGUCACUUGUCUUUGUUCCUGUAAGAAAAAAUCUUGUUGAGUUAGUACUGAUGAGAUAUUCUGGCAAUCAGCUCUCCAAUUACUUCUUUUAAAUGUUCAGUGUUUGCUUGAUAUCAACUUCUAAUGUAAAUUCUUAUUCAGUAGUAUUUGUGCCAAUAUUUCUCACUGGGAGUUAAUAACUGAUGGUGUUUUCCAUUGGUUUUGCAGAUAAUGAUUGGGAUCUUAUUUUUUCUGUUCGAGUUUUAUGAUGAUCAGCUUUUGGCUUUCAUGGUCUUAAUUCUUGUUUGGUUGUGUGAACUAUUCACACUGAUCAGUGUGCGCACGCCAAUAUCAAUGAAGUUCUUUCCACGCUUCUUUUUACUCUAUUUUCUAGUUUUUCACAUCUACUUCUUUUCCUAUGCAUAUGGUUUUUCAUAUUUGGCGCUCUCUACAACUGCAGCAUUUAUGCAGCACCUCAUUCUAUACUUCUGGAACCGUUUUGAGGUACCAGCUUUACAACGGUUUAUGCAAAACAGACGGUCACAGCUACAACACCACCCAGACUUCCAUAUCACAUCCUCUACCAUCCUUGCAUCAACUUUACACAUUACAAGAUUGAACACUAGGAAUGAAGGUCCGGUUAACACAGACUUGGCUUCCGGACCGGGAUUUAGACCUGUGUCUGACCAAGCAGUUCGAGCAAAUGGACUAGAACCUCCUGGACCUCAACAACGCAUAGGAAAUGACAAUCUGCGCAGGUUAGGCAAUACUAUGCAGAUUCCAGGUCAAACAGAUCUUCGGCAACCAGAAACUGGUUCCAGCCCUGGGUCCAUGAACUCAUUUAGUUCACUGCUAUUAUGGAUCUUGGGAGGGGCUUCUUCUGAAGGCCUCAACUCGCUUUUUUCAAUGUUUAGAGAUGUGAGAGAGCAAGGACAAGUUUAUGCUGACUCUCCCAGAGCUGAAAACCGUGCAAACCAGGAUGUGCAAUGAUAGUGGUAUUGCAUUUGAAUGUUGGUUUUUAAGUGUACAUCUCUGUAUUUUAUGCUAAUCACAUAAUAUAUUGGAAUGCAUACUGGAAUUUCUGUAUAGAAAAUGCAAUAUGUAUCUAUAUCAUUAUCAUAUAUUAAAUGUCAACCCUCUUUUGUUAACCUGGAACGGGAGAAAAAUCCAAUGGGAAGUUCACAGGGAUAUAUAUUGCUUCUGUUUAGCUGCUGACAGGUACUUUUCUGCGUUAUAUGCUCUUUGUUGAAC
rnacentral:misc_RNA from 1 species